GUUAGCUUCACGAGGGAUUUAGUGCAACUGGAAGGGAUCAUCUCUCCAUCGAUUAUUGAUGGUUGGGCACCUCGACAAGUGAUGGUGAUGGUGGACUUCUUAAUCAUCUAGGUUUUCUUUGCUUAUAGUGCUAUUAUCAAGUGAUUGGCACUUAAUACAAUAAGAGCAAUUAUCUCUGCAUAUCAAAUGAUGAAGUUCGCAAUUGAGCA
rnacentral:lncRNA from 1 species